rnacentral:rRNA from 1 species
UACGGGGGGGGGCAAGCGUUGUUCGGAAUUACUGGGCGUAAAGGGCUCGUAGGCGGCCAACUAAGUCAUACGUGAAAUCCCUCAGCUUAACUGGGGAACUGCGUGUGAUACUGGAUGGCUUGGAUUUGGGAGAGGGAUGCGGAAUUCCAGGUGUAGCGGUGAAAUGCGUAGAUAUCUGGAGGAACACCGGUGGUGCAGACGGCUCUCUGGACCGCAACUGACGCUGAGACUCGAAAGCGUGGGGAGCAAACAGG